UAUUGCACAAUGGGGGAAACCCUGAUGCAGCGACGCCGCGUGAGUGAAGAAGCGCCUCGGCGCGUAAAGCUCUAUCAGCAGGGAAGAUAAUGACGGUACCUGACUAAGAAGCCCCGGCUAACUACGUGCCAGCAGCCGCGGUAAUACGUAGGGGGCAAGCGUUAUCCGGAUUUACUGGGUGUAAAGGGAGCGUAGACGGUGAUGCAAGUCAGAAGUGAAAGCCCGGGGCUCAACUCCGGGACUGCUUUUGAAACUGUGUGACUGGAGUGCAGGAGAGGUAAGCGGAAUUCCUGGUGUAGCGGUGAAAUGCGUAGAUAUCAGGAGGAACACCAGUGGCGAAGGCGGCUUACUGGACUGUAACUGACGUUGAGGCUCGAAAGCGUGGGGAGCAAACAGG
rnacentral:rRNA from 1 species